GAUAUGGACAUGCUAACCAUGGAUACGACCUUUGGUACCCUCAAUUCUAUAAUAUUUGACAAGAUUUAUAAUCAGGUGAAUUCAAGUAGUAAUUGUUUUCAUUUUCAUAUUUAUGAAGAGGCGGAGCUACUACUAUCUUGUCUCGUUUUAUUACGUAGGCAUCUUGUCGAGCUUUUCAAGUCCAAGGUCAAGAUGAGAUACGAUGGAGGCGAACGGGAUGGCCAACAAGAAUCAAGCAUCCAUAUAGCUG
rnacentral:lncRNA from 1 species